GUCUACGGCCAUGCCACCCUGAACAGGCCGGAUCCUAUCUGAUCUCGGAAGCUAAGCAUGGUGGGGCCUGGUUGUACUUGGAUGGGAGACCACUUAGGAAGACCAGGUGCUGUAGGUG
rnacentral:rRNA from 1 species